rfam:Picea glauca, whole genome shotgun sequence.
UAUUGUAAUUCCUACAUCGUUAAUGCAUCAGAUCCCAUUAGAACUCCAUAAUUAAGAAUGAUUUGGAUAGAGUAAUACUAUGAUGGGUGAUCUCCCAAGAAUUCCUAGUGUCUUACAUGAC